rnacentral:rRNA from 1 species
UACGGAGGGAGCUAGCGUUGUUCGGAAUUACUGGGCGUAAAGCGCACGUAGGCGGAUCGAUCAGUCAGGGGUGAAAUCCCAGGGCUCAACCCUGGAACUGCCUUUGAUACUGUCGAUCUGGAGUAUGGAAGAGGUGAGUGGAAUUCCGAGUGUAGAGGUGAAAUUCGUAGAUAUUCGGAGGAACACCAGUGGCGAAGGCGGCUCACUGGUCCAUUACUGACGCUGAGGUGCGAAAGCGUGGGGAGCAAACAGG